AAAUUGAAGAGUUUGAUCAUGGCUCAGAUUGAACGCUGGCGGCAGGCCUAACACAUGCAAGUCGAGCGGUAGCACAGAGAGCUUGCUCUCGGGUGACGAGCGGCGGACGGGUGAGUAAUGUCUGGGAAACUGCCUGAUGGAGGGGGAUAACUACUGGAAACGGUAGCUAAUACCGCAUAACGUCGCAAGACCAAAGUGGGGGACCUUCGGGCCUCAUGCCAUCAGAUGUGCCCAGAUGGGAUUAGCUAGUAGGUGGGGUAACGGCUCACCUAGGCGACGAUCCCUAGCUGGUCUGAGAGGAUGACCAGCCACACUGGAACUGAGACACGGUCCAGACUCCUACGGGAGGCAGCAGUGGGGAAUAUUGCACAAUGGGCGCAAGCCUGAUGCAGCCAUGCCGCGUGUGUGAAGAAGGCCUUCGGGUUGUAAAGCACUUUCAGCGGGGAGGAAGGCGUUAAGGUUAAUAACCUUAGCGAUUGACGUUACCCGCAGAAGAAGCACCGGCUAACUCCGUGCCAGCAGCCGCGGUAAUACGGAGGGUGCAAGCGUUAAUCGGAAUUACUGGGCGUAAAGCGCACGCAGGCGGUCUGUCAAGUCGGAUGUGAAAUCCCCGGGCUCAACCUGGGAACUGCAUUCGAAACUGGCAGGCUAGAGUCUUGUAGAGGGGGGUAGAAUUCCAGGUGUAGCGGUGAAAUGCGUAGAGAUCUGGAGGAAUACCGGUGGCGAAGGCGGCCCCCUGGACAAAGACUGACGCUCAGGUGCGAAAGCGUGGGGAGCAAACAGGAUUAGAUACCCUGGUAGUCCACGCCGUAAACGAUGUCGAUUUGGAGGUUGUGCCCUUGAGGCGUGGCUUCCGGAGCUAACGCGUUAAAUCGACCGCCUGGGGAGUACGGCCGCAAGGUUAAAACUCAAAUGAAUUGACGGGGGCCCGCACAAGCGGUGGAGCAUGUGGUUUAAUUCGAUGCAACGCGAAGAACCUUACCUGGUCUUGACAUCCACAGAACUUUCCAGAGAUGGAUUGGUGCCUUCGGGAACUGUGAGACAGGUGCUGCAUGGCUGUCGUCAGCUCGUGUUGUGAAAUGUUGGGUUAAGUCCCGCAACGAGCGCAACCCUUAUCCUUUGUUGCCAGCGGUUAGGCCGGGAACUCAAAGGAGACUGCCAGUGAUAAACUGGAGGAAGGUGGGGAUGACGUCAAGUCAUCAUGGCCCUUACGACCAGGGCUACACACGUGCUACAAUGGCAUAUACAAAGAGAAGCGACCUCGCGAGAGCAAGCGGACCUCAUAAAGUAUGUCGUAGUCCGGAUUGGAGUCUGCAACUCGACUCCAUGAAGUCGGAAUCGCUAGUAAUCGUAGAUCAGAAUGCUACGGUGAAUACGUUCCCGGGCCUUGUACACACCGCCCGUCACACCAUGGGAGUGGGUUGCAAAAGAAGUAGGUAGCUUAACCUUCGGGAGGGCGCUUACCACUUUGUGAUUCAUGACUGGGGUGAAGUCGUAACAAGGUAACCGUAGGGGAACCUGCGGUUGGAUCACCUCCUUA
rnacentral:rRNA from 1 species